ACGGAAGGUUCCUGCCAGUGCUAAUGAUGCCAAUUGGAGCCUCUGGCAGAAGUAGGGUAGGAAGGAAGUGCCCUUAGGAUUUGGGAAUAGGAAGUUACUGGAAGCCAG